AAUUAAACCUAUAAUAACUUACUGUAAUUGUGAGCUUGAAAAAAGUCGUAUAAUUACAGAAAAUAAAAAUAAAGCUGUCAUUUAUCGUUGAGUUAAUAAUAUUAACAAUAAAACGUAUAUAGGAAGCUCGAUUAAUUUAUCUGUAAGAAUGUAUAAAUAUUACAGUAUUAAACAUUUAACUAAAUAUAAAACUCCAAUUCACAAUGCUCUUUUAAAAUAUGGUUUUCAAAACUUUAAUUUAGAAAUACUUGAGUACUGUGAAGAGGGUGUAAAUCCUACAAUAAGAGAACAAUACUAUUUUGAAUUGUUAAACCCAGAGUAUAACAUUUUAGAAAAAGCAGGCUCUUCUUUAGGAUUCAAACAUAGUGAUGAAACUUUAGAGUUUUUUAAAAAUGAACGUAAAAUCAGUGAAGAAACAAGAAAUAAUUUAUCUUUAGCGGCGACAGGCAGAAUAUUUACUGAAGAAGAUAAGAAAAAAUUAUCUGAAAUACGUAAAGGUAUUAAAUUAUCAGAUGAAACAAAAGCUAGAAUAUCUGCUGCUGCUACUACCCUUAGAGGUGUAACAGUUAUAGUUAAAAAUAUAAACACUAAUGAAGAAUUGGAGUUUAGAAGUUUAACAGAAGCAGGUAAAUAUAUAGAUGUUAGUAGAACAGCUAUAAGAAAAUGUAUUGAUACAGGGAAACCAAUCAAAAAUAAAUUUAUAGUGGCCACAAAACUUCAAAAACCAUAGAAUCAUAAUCUUUAUUACUCGUUAAAUGGAUAACGGGUAGUUAUUUAGGGAGAAGGACCUCAGCUUUACUUUAAAAGGUUAAAGAGGUAGAUCUGUUUCUGCGAAACCUAUAAUAGUAGGCAGUUUAAGUAAAUAUCUUAGCAGGUACAGAAUUUAAUCUCAGACAAGACAUUUUUUAAUGUUUUAUUUUGUACAAAUUGGGGGAUCAUGAAGAUUUUAUCAGUGAGUAUGUAGACUCGGAAUGGCAAAGAUAUAUCUUAAACUAUCAGACAUAGAAUGAUAAGGUUGUAUGUCGAAAGGGAAACAGCCCAGAACAAGAGUUAAGGUUCCUAAAUUAUUUGUUAAGUGAAAAUAAGAAGGUUUUUAUUUAAGUCGACAAGGAGAUAGGCUUAGAAGCAGCCAUAAUUUUAUGACCUCGUAACAGAGCGCUUGUUAAAUUGUAAAAGCGUCGAAAAUAUAACGGAUCUAAACAAUAUACCGAAACCUUGUCCAUAAUAUAUUAUAAUAAAUAUAUUUAUUAUAAUUAAAUGGGGUAGCAGAACGUUGAGCUAAAAUAUGAGUUUUAUUUUUUAAAUAAAAUUAUAGUAAUUUAACUCAAGUGAGAAUGGUGACAUGAGUAACUAAAAGAAAAUUUUCCGCCUUAAGCUUAUGGAUGUAAUUAAGUAACGGCCUCUAAGUUUAUAUAAUCUAAAGAUUUAAACGAUGAGAAAAUCUUUAUUACUAAAAACAACAUUUUAGUGUAAAAUGUGCUGGAAAAAUAGUAAUAUAUUUGUUAUUAAAUAACAAAUAAAAUAACCGUACCUAGAAUCUGAAACAAGUAAGCUAGUAGAGAAUACGAAGGCGUAAAUGAGCUAACAAUCAUAAAGGAACUCGGCAAAUUGACUACCGUAACUUCGGAAUAAGGAGGGCUCAUUAUUCUUGAUGAAUAUCAAGUAAAGAGGAAGAAGCAUGAAAUAAUGUUGUACGACUGUUUAAUUAAAACACAGCACUUUGCUGAAAGAUUAAAAAUCUAAGUAUAAAGUGUGAUAUCUGCCCGGUGCCGGCUGGUUAACAGAUAUAAUUGAAUAUAUUAAUAUUUGAUGUAGACGGAAACCCCGGUUAAAGGCGGCCUUAACGUGAGGGUCCUAAGGUAGCGAAAUGCCUUGGCCGUUAAAUGCGGUCUUGCAUGAAUGGUGUAACGAUACAACAGCUGUCUCUAUGAUUGACUCAGUGAAAUUGGAAUAGCUGUGCAGAUACAGCUUACCUCUAGUUAGACGAGAAGACCCUAUGCAGCUUUACUGUCACUAAUUAUAGAGUAUGAUAAACGAUUUUCAGAAUAUAAGGUAAUUGACAAAUAUGACAAUGAGAAACCUUUAUUCUUUUUUCAUAUGAAUGAAUUGGUUUAGGAUUAUGAGUAAUUAAUUAAUUUUAUGGUUCCAUAAAAUUAUAUAGCUCAUUUUAGUAGAUCAACCUAAUUCAACUUAUUUAUUUUUAAAAUAAGUAAGUACCCUUUGGUAAGGAACUAUCGCUAGGGGACAGUUUAUGUGGGGCACAGACCCUGUAAAGAGUAAACAGGAGUGUCUAAAAAUUUAUAAUUAUUUUGUUUGCUAUUUUGAGUAGUUUAACUAUUUUUAAUCAUAUAAAAUUAAAUAUAUUUGCAUUUUAUGUAUAUAUAUUUAAGAUUAGGUAAGAUUUUCACUAUAUAGAAAUUAGAGAUAAUUGAAAGUAUUAUGAAGGCGCAAGCUCUUCUAAUAUUUUCUAGCUAUUAUUUAUAAUAGUUAUGUGUUUAAUAUCUAAAAAGCUCAACGGCUAAAUCUU
rnacentral:rRNA from 1 species